rnacentral:misc_RNA from 1 species
UAUGCAUCAACAGAUCACAAAGAAAGGCAUGACCAAAAAUAUUGCAGUCAUGCACAAACAGCAAUAUAAAAUGUGCACCAGGAACCAAAAUUUUCUAAAUGAGAUAGUUGUACACUAAACAGCCAUUAAAGUGCAUUUUGUCUUGUGCAUUUCUCUAGCUCCACACAUUUAUUCAGCUAAAACUUCAUUUGUUGCAAACUCAUUUAAUAGCCUCAUACCUUAGGCAUGACAUGUAAUAUAGGUUUCAUAAAUGAGUAUAUUUGCCAUCAUAUUUAGGGUUUGUUUGGAGCUCUUGUUGAGAAAUGCACUUUUUUAAAUAUAUUUGUUAGAGGGUAUUAAAAAUUGAUUUAAAA